GGAUUCUCUGGAGGUUCCUCUGGCAUAGAGCUGAAGAGCUCCUUCCCUGGCCCGACAACAGCUGCAUCACUUGAGCAUAAACCUGCAAAUCUAGCUGAAGAAUCAUCCGACGGAUCUAUAACCAUCAAGUUGGUGAGCCAAUCACGCAUCCAGAAAAGCAAUAUGCCUGAUGAGCACAAAUUUUCAGCAGAAGGGUUAUAUGAAGAACCUGUAAGGAUCAAGUCUGAUGCAUCAAACACCCAGAAGGGUAUUGUGUCUGCUGAGCAUACGCCUGUCGCACAGGUAGAAGAACCUUAUGUGGAAUGUGGCAGCACAAAGCUUGUGGUUUCAUUGCCAACUAGCAUU
rnacentral:lncRNA from 1 species